rnacentral:lncRNA from 1 species
GGUGGGCUCCAGGAGGAGCUGAGGAGAGGGUAACCAGGACCCUCAUUAGGGACCACGGGGGUGGGAAAGGUUGGGAAUUCGCCAGUCAUUUUUAUCCCAUCACGUGAAUCAUUCUUUCUGGCAGAGGAGAAGGUGCCGGUGUUAGUACCACCAACUGUGGCUUAAAAUGACAGAAAUCUAUUCUCUUACAAUUCUGGAGGUUAGGGCUUGAGCCACCACGCCCGGCCUCUACCUCCAUCUUAUGAGGUCUUUUCCCUGUGUAUUUGUGUCCCAACUUUCCUCUUCUUAUAGGGACAUCAGUCAUUGGAUUAGGGACCACUCUAGUUGAGUAUGACUUUAUCCUAACUUGAUUACAUCUGCAAAGACUCCAUUCCCAAAUAAGGCCACAUUCACAGGUUUGGGGGCCAGGAUAUACUCUUUUGGGGAACAUAAUUCAACCCAGGCUGUAACAGUGUCAUAUUAUUCCGAUAGAUUCUGAGCUAGCCCAUUCCCCGUCUAACAUCUCCAAACCUGGUUCCCUUAAACCGUUGAGCUUGUCUGCAACUCUUAUCCAAAUGAAGCUGUGAGGAGAGCUGCCCUGCUGACCAAUGGCAGGGCCUCCCUUCUGGCUCCAGGCUCUGCACUGAAGUGUAGUGGCCCAACCAGAUACUUGCCCAAUGCCGUGGGGGAAGCCAAGGAGGGCACAGCCAGUAGGAAAUACAUUCUCCCGAAGUGAUCACUUUUCAGUUUAAAAAAAAAAAGGUAAUUAAGGGCCGGGCGCGGUAGCUCACGCCUGUAAUCCCAGCACUUUGGGAGGCCGAGGCAGGCGGAUCACAAGGUCAGAAGAUUGAGACCAUCCUGGCGAACACGGUGAAACCCCGUCUCUAUUUUUAAAAAUAUGAAAAAAUUAGCCGGGCACGGUCACAGGCGCCAGUAGUCCCAGCUACUCGGGAGGCUGAGGCAGGAGAAUGGCGUGAACCCGGGAGGCGGAAGUUGCAGUGAGCCGAGAUUGCAUCACUGCACUCCAGCCUGGGCAACAGAGCAAGACUCUGUCUCAAAAAAAAAAAAAAAA